CGCCAUUAAGAAACUGUUAGAAUUCACUAACCGACUUAUUUGGGUGCCAAUUAAAUUAGCUAAGGCAUGUUAGAUACUAGAGAUCUAAUGAAUCUUUGUCAAACCAUUGAUAAGCCAGUCAAUGCCAUAAAUGAAUAUAAUGUCAUCAAACUUUAACUCAACUAAUAAGGGUCAGUAUCAUCUGUGCCUGCAAUGAAAAUUAUUUAAGGAAGAAGUCUUCCAAACUACAUAUCUCAAAUAAAUAAAUAAAUAAAUAAGGAGAAGAAGCAAUUACUCCUAAGUUUACAUAAAGUUUGUCUUUUAGCAUUAAAAUGUUGAAAGAGGGGUCAUCUUUUGGCAAGGACUGGCUUACUGGUCUCUCUUUUAUUCUAGUUUUUCACAGUUUCCUCUCCUUAAAUUCCCUCCUUCCUUUUCAUUUACUGUUCCUCCUCCUCCUUUCUCCCUUCUCCCCAUCUGUCUGUCUUGUUCUGUUUCCCCCCCUUCUCUGUCAGUUGUUGAACAUUUAAGGAGCAGUAAACCUACACUCCCAAGACCGAUUUUCUUUUUGUUUUUUCAUCUUUUUAUUUUUUGUCAGUUGUGGUUUAACCCCCAAAUUAUGCAGACAGUAACCCUACAUAGAUUUUCUCUUCUGUGCACAAAUAUAGGCAAGAAGUUAGCACCUCAAGCAUCGGUGACAGACCAGUUGGGUGGAAAUCUCUGAAGGGGUCAUAAACAUGUCAGCAGCUCAUUUAGCCAACUCCUAACUUUAAACAGGCCCCCUGGUGUAGCACCAGAGCAAAUUUUACAA